UACGUAGGGGCCUAGCGUUGUCCGGAUUUAUUGGGCGUAAAGAGCUCGUAGGCGGUUCGGUAAGUCAGGUGUGAAAUCUCCACGCUCAACGUGGAGGCGCCACCUGAAACUGCCGUGACUCGAGUCCGGUAGGGGAGUGUGGAAUUCCCGGUGUAGCGGUGAAAUGCGCAGAUAUCGGGAGGAACACCAGUGGCGAAGGCGGCUCACUGGACCUCUUCUGACGCUGAGGCACGAAAGCUAGGGUAGCGAACGGG
rnacentral:rRNA from 1 species